AUUGAACGCUGGCGGCAGGCCUAACACAUGCAAGUCGAACGAGUGGCGCACGGGUGAGUAAUGUCUGGGAAACUGCCCGAUGGAGGGGUAUAUCCUUUGGAAAUGGUCUCAAAUCCCACAUACUAUGGAUUGUGCCCAGAUGGGAUUAGCUAGUAGGUGGGGUAACGGCUCACCUAGGCGACGAUCCCUAGCUGGUCUGAGAGGAUGACCAGCCACACUGGAACUGAGACACGGUCCAGACUCCUACGGGAGGCAGCAGUGGGGAAUAUUGCACAAUGGGCGCAAGCCUGAUGCAGCCAUGCCGCGUGUAUGAAGAAGGCCUUCGGGUUGUAAAGUACUUUCAGCGAGGAGGCGUUACUCGCAGAAGAAGCACCGGCUAACUCCGUGCCAGCAGCCGCGGUAAUAC
rnacentral:rRNA from 1 species